GGUGGAGCCGGUGACCCAGGCUGGUAGUAGGUGAGUGAUGGGGUGACGCAGGAAGGUAGUCCAUCCCGGGCGGUGGUUGUCCCGGGGUAAGGGUGUAGGACGUCGGGUAGGUAAAUCCGCCUGGCACGUAGUCUGAGACCUGAUGCCGAGCCGAUUGUGGUGAAGUGGAUGAUCCUAUGCUGUCGAGAAAAGCCUCUAGCGAGUUUCAUGGCGGCCCGUACCCUAAACCGACUCAGGUGGUCUGGUAGAGAAUAC
rnacentral:rRNA from 1 species